GUUGCUUCGCGGGUGAAAAAAGGUGCCACCGGUGCUGCUGCAGUGACGGAAAAAUCUCACCGCAAAAUCGUGGUCGCCAUACAGUCGGAAAUUUGUAAGCCGCGUAGUGAUAGUGGAACUUCACCAAAAGAUUGCCUUCGUAGUGGCAUCGUAGCGACGGACAAAAGCGCAAAAUCUUAGAACCCCGCGUCGGGACACUGACGGGUUGUUCGUGGAGCCACGUAUUAGUCAAAAACGGGCCCGUUGGAGGAAUAAAACCCGAUAUUCGUCUCGUGUCGGGAGAUUGCAGUUCGAGAAUUUCGGGAAAGUACUUGCAAAAGCACAAUUCGCAAGGAAACACGCCGGAGGAGCGUGGGAAUUGCCGACUGAAAGCAAACAUUCCGCAGUGCGAUCCUGGGAGUCAACGAAUCCAACGGAAUCAGUUGACUCGGUCGAGACGAUACCGGAUUGGUGCGGAAAAUCACGAAGAAAGCCUUCACUAGAAGUAAGUGUGAUCUGGUUGCAAAAUAGAUAAGGAAUCUAAAGAAAUUCUUCGAAUCACAGGGCUUUUUUUUUAUGGACUGCUGAUCACGAUUGAGCAGAUAUUCUCUUCGGGUUGAUUGCUGCCGGACGGAGGGGUCGGACGGAUCUGCCGGACGGAGGGGUCAAGUCCCGGGAGGCGAACUCGUGCAACAACCGAGAAUUCCGCAGCGAGCAACUGCAACACUGGGCUUCGCAAGGUUCAGCAGUGUUCGGGGCAACGAUAGCCGCAUCACUCAAUCGGAGACGGGAUAAUUGUUGCGACCAGGCGGCUGGUGACAAGCUAUUGCGUGACGAACUCGCCAAUCGGCAAGAGCAGUAAAAUUGAACGUCGGUAAGCUCGGAUAGUUCAGCCCAGGAUGGUGCGAAAUCCGGGCACGAAUAACCACAGCAUGAUGAGGGUGGCGCGGAUGUGUGCCUCUGUAGCGUGAGUAAAAACCAUGGUUUAGCUAGGGCUGAGAAUAGGAGUUAGGGCAAUGAUUUUUUCCUAAGAAAGGGCAUGCUAGCUCAAUAAAUGUGUGUAUCAUGUAUAUGUUUCGUUGUUGAGCUUAUUUUGUGGCGUUCGAU